rnacentral:rRNA from 1 species
AACGAACGCUGGCGGCAGGCUUAACACAUGCAAGUCGAACGAGAUCUUCGGAUCUAGUGGCAGACGGGUGAGGAACACGUGGGAGCAUCCCUUUCAGUUCGGAAUAGCGUUGGGAAACUAACGCUAAUACCGGAUACGUCCUUCGGGAGAAAGAUUUAUCGCUGAAAGAUUGGCCCGCGUCUGAUUAGCUAGUUGGUGAGGUAACGGCUCACCAAGGCUACGAUCAGUAGCUGAUCUGAGAGGAUGAUCAGCCACAUUGGGACUGAGACACGGCCCAAACUCCUACGGGAGGCAGCAGUGGGGAAUUUUGGACAAUGGGCGCAAGCCUGAUCCAGCCAUGCCGCGUGCGGGAAGAAGGCCUUCGGGUUGUAAACCGCUUUUGUCAGGGAAGAAACGCGCUGAGCUAAUACCUCGGCGUAAUGACGGUACCUGAAGAAUAAGCACCGGCUAACUA